rnacentral:rRNA from 1 species
CGCCUCUUGAUUAUUAUAAGAGGUCCCGCCUGCCCUGUGACAAUGUUUAACGGCCGCGGUAUUUUGACCGUGCGAAGGUAGCGUAAUCACUUGUCUUUUAAAUGAAGACCUGUAUGAAAGGCAUCACGAGAGUUUAACUGUCUCUAUUUUCUAAUCGAUGAAAUUGAUUUUCCCGUGAAGAAGCGGGAAUAAUACCAUUAGACGAGAAGACCCUAUGGAGCUUCAAACACUUAGAUUAAUUUUGUAAAAAUAUUUCCUGCCCUAAGGGGUAAACCUCAUAAUAUUUUUAAUUUAAUUGUUUUUGGUUGGGGUGACCAAGGGGAAAAACAAAUCCCCCUUAUCGAUUGAGUACUAAGUACUUAAAAACUAAAGCGACAGCUUUAGUUGAUAAAAUAUUUAUCGAACAAUGACCCAGGACUUACUGAUCAAUGAACCAAGUUACCCUAGGGAUAACAGCGCAAUCCUUUCCUAGAGUCCCUAUCGCCGAAAGGGUUUACGACCUCGAUGUUGGAUCAGGACAUCCUAAUGGUGUAACCGCUAUUAAGGGUUCGUUUGUUCAACGAUUAAUAGUCCU